UCUGGACAUCGAAAAUCAUUGCUAAAUGGCAACUUCGAUUAGUACAGAAAAUAAUUUUUUAUGCUACUGACUUAGUGUUUAAACCUAUGGAGUCACGCACAAAGUUAGGCAAAGUAGGAAAGAAUUGACCUAAAUCCAUGCAUUCAAUUUGAAAGUACAAGACAUAAUUGAACAAAUAGAUUAGCUUAAUUGAGAAUUAAGUUAAGGAUCAUACGGGA
rnacentral:lncRNA from 1 species